AUUGAACGCUGGCGGCAGGCUUAACACAUGCAAGUCGAACGAGGUGUAGCAAUACACCUAGUGGCGGACGGGUGAGGAAUACAUAGGAAUCUGCCUCAGAGCGGGGGAUAGCCCAGGGAAACUUGGAGUAAUACCGCAUGAUGUCGAAAGACCAAAGCAGGGGACCGCAAGGCCUUGCACUCUGAGAGGAGCCUAUGUCUGAUUAGCUAGUUGGCGGGGUAACGGCCCACCAAGGCGACGAUCAGUAGCUGGUCUGAGAGGACGAUCAGCCACACCGGAACUGAGACACGGUCCGGACUCCUACGGGAGGCAGCAGUGGGGAAUAUUGGACAAUGGGCGAAAGCCUGAUCCAGCAAUGCCGCGUGUGUGAAGAAGGCCUUCGGGUUGUGAAGCACUUUAGGCUGGAAAGAAAAAAUUCAAGCUAACAUCUUGAGUCUUGACGGUACCGGCAGAAUAAGCACCGGCUAACUCUGUGCCAGCCGCCGCCGUAAUAC
rnacentral:rRNA from 1 species